CACUUUCUUUCAAACUCAUAUAUUAUUUAUUACAAUUAAAUAUUUUCUUUUAUAUUACAUAAAUCCAUUUAAAACCAUACAAAUUAUCUGUGCUGUGAUUAAUAGUUCCCAGAUGCUCUCAGAAUUCCAUGCUAAGAAGAGGAAUAUAAAUCCACAACAAAUAAACCACUUGAUUAAGUAAAGACGUCCCACAAGUUGGACUUUUUUUUCGUUUUCUUUUUCGAUUUCCCCUACUCCUUUUUGGUACAGACAACAUUUCUUCGUUGUGAUUCAAGAUCAGAACAGCAUUGACAAAAAUAAAAUUAUUUGGAAGGUGCAUUCAUAUAACAGUAAUUGCUCAUCUUCUGUUCACAACGUGGAAUACAGGUUAACUGGAACAGGCACAAGGAAGGGGUGUGUAAGACGAUGUCACACAUCUUGAUAAACCAUAGUGGCUCUAGUGACUCCUAAGGCAGCUAUAAUGGACUUCUCGCUCUUGGGAACAUGGAAGGGACGACUAAGCAGUCCAGACGACCAUCCUACUCUCUACUCUCUAUGCAGUGUUUGCUGACCGGGGUUCUGAGGAAUCCGUUCGGAGAGGAUAACCCGAUUCAGAUCAUCAGGAGAUGCGUGUUUAAACUUGAAGACCUUUGGCUUAUUCAGAAGGCGGAUUUAGAGAGAAGGCGGGACUCAAAUCCUUGAAACUGUUUAAAACAGAAGUGGAUUUUCAAAUCGAGUAGGAAUAAUAACAUAAUGGAAUUAUUUUUGAUACUAGACUGGCCUCUAAACUGACAGAAGAUAAAAACCCUGAACAAUAUUGGGUUCUGAUCUGGCUGACCAAACUUAGUUCCAUUAGAUCAUUAGGACUGGCCCCCGGCAGCUGUCCCACAGGAUUAUGGGUAAUAGUGGCGUGGAGGGCGACCGCCUGUCCAUUAGCAGGGUCUGGUGCCAGGCCCCCCGGAAGAAAUGGAUUCUAGGCUUUAACUUCCAGAUCUAUCUGGUGCACUUUGAAGGAGAACCGAGAGGGGGGCCUGACCAGCACACAUCCAUCCCUCAUGUUAUCUUCAGAGGAACCAUCUUCUGUUGGACUUUAUUCUGAGUCUGUGGGGGGGCUCAGAGGAGAUCAGGAUGGGGCUCGGGUGUGACCAGGGUUGGGCUCAGAGGAGACCUGCGUUGGGGCUCAGGGGGACCGGGUUGGGGCUCAGGGGGACCUACGUUGGGGCUCAGGG
ensembl:lncRNA